GAUGAACGCUGGCGGCGUGCCUAAUACAUGCAAGUCGAGCGAACAGACGAGGAGCUUGCUCCUCUGACGUUAGCGGCGGACGGGUGAGUAACACGUGGAUAACCUACCUAUAAGACUGGGAUAACUUCGGGAAACCGGAGCUAAUACCGGAUAAUAUAUUGAACCGCAUGGUUCAAUAGUGAAAGACGGUUUUGCUGUCACUUAUAGAUGGAUCCGCGCCGCAUUAGCUAGUUGGUAAGGUAACGGCUUACCAAGGCGACGAUGCGUAGCCGACCUGAGAGGGUGAUCGGCCACACUGGAACUGAGACACGGUCCAGACUCCUACGGGAGGCAGCAGUGGAAUCUUCCGCAAUGGGCGAAAGCCUGACGGAGCAACGCCGCGUGAGUGAUGAAGGUCUUCGGAUCGUAAAACUCUGUUAUUAGGGAAGAACAAAUGUGUAAGUAACUAUGCACGUCUUGACGGUACCUAAUCAGAAAGCCACGGCUAACUACGUG
rnacentral:rRNA from 1 species